ACUCGAGUGGCGAACGGGUGAGUAACACGUGGGUGAUCUGCCCUGCACUUCGGGAUAAGCCUGGGAAACUGGGUCUAAUACCGGAUAGGAGCCAUUUUUAGUGUGAUGGUUGGAAAGUUUUUCGGUGUAGGAUGAGCUCACGGCCUAUCAGCUUGUUGGUGGGGUAAUGGCCUACCAAGGCGGCGACGGGUAGCCGGCCUGAGAGGGUGGACGGCCACAUUGGGACUGAGAUACGGCCCAG
rnacentral:rRNA from 1 species